GAUAGCCAUAGAUCACUAAGGGAUCUAAGGUGGGUUGGGUUACUAAACGAACCGCCUCUGUGGUGGAAUCGUAUAUACCGCCCCAGAACAUCGCUUUUCCUACCAAUAGUAAGGCAGCGACACCCAAGAAUAAGAGAUGAUGGCCUAAAAUAAUGCCAAGUUUUUUGGGAUCGUCCCA
rnacentral:ncRNA from 20 species